AUUGAACGCUGGCGGCAUGCUUUACACAUGCAAGUCGAACGGUAACAGGCCGCAAGGUGCUGACGAGUGGCGAACGGGUGAGUAAUGCAUCGGAACGUGCCCAGUCGUGGGGGAUAACUACUCGAAAGAGUAGCUAAUACCGCAUACGAUCUAUGGAUGAAAGCGGGGGAUCGUAAGGCCUCGCGCGAUUGGAGCGGCCGAUGUCAGAUUAGGUAGUUGGUGGGGUAAAGGCUCACCAAGCCAACGAUCUGUAGCUGGUCUGAGAGGACGACCAGCCACACUGGGACUGAGACACGGCCCAGACUCCUACGGGAGGCAGCAGUGGGGAAUUUUGGACAAUGGGCGCAAGCCUGAUCCAGCAAUGCCGCGUGCAGGAAGAAGGCCUUCGGGUUGUAAACUGCUUUUGUACGGAACGAAACGGCUCUGGUUAAUACCCGGGGCUAAUGACGGUACCGUAAGAAUAAGCACCGGCUAACUACGUG
rnacentral:rRNA from 1 species